rnacentral:rRNA from 1 species
AACGUUCCAGCAGAAUUCUACCAACAUUGUUGGGAGAUUGUUAAAAAUGAUAUUAUGAGGCUUUUUGAGGCCAUGUAUGAGGGAACACUUGAUGUUCAAAGAUUAAAUUACGGGAUCAUUACUUUGAUUCCUAAGAUCAAUGGUGCGAACAAAAUUCAACAGUUUAGGCCUAUUUGCUUGCUUAGAUGCCCAUAUAAGUUGAUCACAAAGGUGUUGGAUCACAGAGCAGCCUCCUAUGCUGACAUCUUGUUUAGCAAGCACCAAAACGCCUUUAUUAAACACAGAAAUAUCAUGGAU